CCGAGUCGUCGACACGAGUUGUUGCUGGCCCCUCAAACGGGGGGCAUGUGCACGCUCUGUUAACACAUCCACUCACACCUGUGCACACUCCGUAGUUCUAUGGUCUGGGGGACAUGCCGUCUUCCUCCUGUAGUUCUGCGUCUUUACACAUACACUGUAGAAAAGUCUUAUGGAAUGCUUACCGCGUCUAACGCAAUACAAUA
rnacentral:misc_RNA from 1 species